GGCUCAGGAUGAACGCUGGCGGCGUGCUUAACACAUGCAAGUCGAACGAAGAUGCCGGAGUGCUUGCACUUUGGCAGACUGAGUGGCGGACGGGUGAGUAACGCGUGGGUAACCUGCCUUAUACAGGGGGAUAACAUUUGGAAACAGAUGCUAAUACCGCAUAAGAUUACAGUACCGCAUGAUACAGUGAUCAAAGGAGCAAUCCGCUGAAAGAUGGGCUCGCGUCCGAUUAGAUAGUUGGUGAGGUAACGGCUCACCAAGUCGACGAUCGGUAGCCGGACUGAGAGGUUGAACGGCCACAUUGGGACUGAGACACGGCCCAGACUCCUACGGGAGGCAGCAGUGGGGAAUAUUGCACAAUGGGCGAAAGCCUGAUGCAGCAACGCCGCGUGAGGGAAGACGGUUUUCGGAUUGUAAACCUCUGUUUUCGGUGACGAACAAAUGACGGUAACCGAGUAGGAAGCCACGGCUAACUACGUG
rnacentral:rRNA from 1 species